UGGGGAAUAUUGGACAAUGGGGGCAACCCUGAUCCAGCCAUGCCGCGUGAGUGAUGAAGGCCUUAGGGUUGUAAAGCUCUUUCGCCGGUGCAGAUAAUGACGGUAACCGGUAAAGAAGCCCCGGCUAACUUCGUGCCAGCAGCCGCGGUAAUACGAAGGGGGCUAGCGUUGUUCGGAAUUACUGGGCGUAAAGCGCGCGUAGGCGGACUAUUAAGUCAGGGGUGAAAUCCCGGGGCUCAACCUCGGAAUUGCCUUUGAUACUGGUAGUCUAGAGUCCGUGAGAGGUGAGUGGAACUCCGAGUGUAGUGGUGAAAUGCGUAGAGAUCGGCAGGAACACCCAGGGGGAAACCAGCAUACUGGACAGGUCCUGACACUCAGGUGCGACAGCGUGGGGAGCGAACCGGAUUAGAUACCCCGGUAGUCC
rnacentral:rRNA from 1 species